UACGAGCGGUGUUUUGAAGUUUUCAACCAGUUUUUUGAAGAGUCUGAACCAGUUUUUUGAAGUUUUGAACCAGUUUUUUGAAGAGUCUGAAGGGCAACUCUAUGGACCAGGAAUUGCUGAUUAGCAUAUUAAUGCGAUGGAAAUUGCGACCUGCACCUUUUCCGCCGCACGACAAAUGCACACUCGAGACGCCUCGGUGAAAUGCUUGUACCAGGCAUAAUAUGACAUAUAUCUUAAUGAAAAAAUUUAAGAAGACUGCUGAAAUAUAUAACAAUAAAACCUGAAA